AAUCUUAACAAAAAUUUAAAUUGCAAAUUUAAAAAAGAUGAGAUUAAACCAUCUAAGAUUU
rnacentral:tRNA from 1 species